rnacentral:tRNA from 1 species
GCGGAUGUGGCGGAAUUGGUAGACGCGCUAGAUUUAGGUUCUAGUGUCUUUGGCGUAAGAGUUCGAGUCUCUUCAUCCGCA